CGCUGGAUUGCUGUCCACCUCUUGAACCCUGAGAAGGUUCAAGACCUGGAGAUGAGCCCUAGUAUUUCCAGGUGGCUGAGGAGCGCUACCGGAGGAGCCCGGGAUCCCCGAGGUGCAUCAGUCCCGAAAUAAGGGAGAGCAGCAGCAUCGCUCCCGGCCACCAAAGGUACACUCGUUUCGGUCAAUAGCAUUUUUUUCCCCCACUUCCCCUCGGUGUUUGCUAAAGGGCGCGGAGCUGCGUGCGAGUCCCACAGCCGGAGGAGAAAGGAAACGCGAAGAGCUUCUUCCAGCGGACGCUGCUCCCCUUCCCCUCCAUCCUGCGGGGUGAGGAACGGAGGGGCUCGGAGAGCGGCGGGGGGGAGGGU
ensembl:lncRNA